GGGCUUGUAGCUCAAGUGGUAGAGCAACCUGUAGUCCCUCUUGUUGACUGCAGUGUGUCUUGUGGGUUCAAAUCCCACCAAGCCCA
rnacentral:tRNA from 1 species